rnacentral:rRNA from 1 species
GGACUACUGGGGUAUCUAAUCCUGUUUGAUCCCCUUGCUUUCGCGCUUCAGCGUCAGGAAUAAGCUAGAAAACCGCCUUCGCCACCGGUAUUCUUCCACAUAUCUACGCAUUUCACCGCUACUUGUGGAAUUCUGUUUUCUCCGCCUACCCUCUAGACAAUGUAGUUUCAAAUGCAGCUCCCAGGUUGAGCCCGGGAAUUUCACAUCUGACUUACAUAUCCGCCUACGCGCCCUUUACGCCCAAUAAAUCCGAUUAAUGCUUGCACCCUCCGUAUUACCGCGGCUGCUGGCAC